rnacentral:rRNA from 1 species
GUGCCAGCAGCCGCGGUAAUACGGAGGGUGCAAGCGUUAAUCGGAAUUACUGGGCGUAAAGCGCACGCAGGCGGUUUGUUAAGUCAGAUGUGAAAUCCCCGGGCUCAACCUGGGAACUGCAUCUGAUACUGGCAAGCUUGAGUCUCGUAAAGGGGAGUAGAAUUCAAGGUGUAGCGGUGAAAUUGGCGUAGAAGAAUUCUGGAGGAAGUACCGGUGGCGAAAGGCGGCCCCCCUGGACGAAAGAACUGAGCGCUCCAGGUGCGAAAGCGUGGGGGAGCAAACAGGAUUAGAAUACCCUGGUAGUCC